rnacentral:tRNA from 1 species
GGAGGAAUGGCAGAGUGGUCGAUUGCGGCAGUCUUGAAAACUGUUGACUGUUACAGGUCCGGGGGUUCGAAUCCCUCUUCCUCCG